GACAGGUAGGAUGGAGAGAGAGAUGGACUACAAACUGGGACAGGUAGGAUGGAGAGAGAGAUGGACUACAAACUGGGACAGGUAGGAUGGAGAGAGAGAUGGACUACAAACUGGGACAGGUAGGAUGGAGAGAGAGAUGGACUACAAACUGGGACAGGUAGGAUGGAGAGAGAGCUGGACUACAAACUGGGACAGGUAGGAUGGAAGGAGAGAGAGAUGGGGAACAUGGACUACAAACUGGGACAGGUAGGAUGGAGGGAUGGAAGGAGAGAGAGAUGGACUACAAACUGGGACAGGUAGGAUGGAGGGAUGGAAGGAGAGAGAGAUGGACUACAAACUGGGACAGGUAGGAUGGAGGGAUGGAAGGAGAGAGGGGGCGGAGGAAAGGGAAGACAGACCAAAUGGCAUAGUUGUGUCCUUCUCUUGCAGAUAUGUUCAGUCUCUCUCUCUCUCUCUCUAAUUCCUCUCCUUUAUUGUCUCUCUCUCUCUAAUUCCUCUCCUUUAUUGUCUCUCUCUCUAAUUCCUCUCCUUUAUUGUCUCUCUCUCUAAUUCCUCUCCUUUAUUGUCUCUCUCUCUCUCUAAUUCCUC
ensembl:lncRNA